rnacentral:lncRNA from 1 species
AGAGCAGGUAGUCAGCCAAGGCUUCAUAGUUCUCACCCACGGCAAUUCAGCUAGCAAACUAGAGACACUUCCCCAAGAAGACAUAGCGUGGCAAGCCUGCUGAGAUGCAUAAAGAAAUCUUAGCUGGAAUGCCUUCUCAGAAUCUUGAUUUUCAAAGUGAUGGAUUGGGAGAUCCCAAGCCAUGAAUAAAGGGUGCUCAUCACAGAUGGAACAAUGGCGAGAGCACACCUGGACAGGGGAGGGGCAGGAGUUCUGAUUCCUGACACAGGUUUCCUGGUUGAAUGUUGCUGUUGUGGAAGAAUGCAACUGAGUUUUAUAAGCAGAUCUUGUUCCUGACAUCCUUGCUGAAUGAGAGCAAAGGAGACAGCUGGGAGCAGAAGGGCAAAUUGCAGUUUCCCCAAAGAAAUGUCUAUUUUCCAAGGGGCAUGGAGAAUUUAAGAAUAAAGCAGAUCUGAUUUCUAAUUCUGACCUUGCUACUGGCAAAUUGUGUGGACUCAGGAAAGUGACCGGCCCUCCCUAAGACUCAGUGUCCUUACCUCUGAAAUGGAGCUGUCAAUCACAUCUGCCUCACAGGCUUGUUCUGAGGAUGAAGUGAGAAAAUGCCCACAAGGUGCUGGUUGCAGCAGCUGGUGAGUAGAGCUUAAAAAGGAUGCAGUCCCAAA